UACGCAGUAGUGAAGAAGACAUCCGGUGAGUGUGAGACACCGAGCAGCCAUCCCCGUGUGUCAGGAGGACUGCGCAGGACCCAGAGCCCCAUCACGGUGCCUCCACCUCACUCACUGACACAUGAGACACAUUGACCAGAAUAUCCUGGAACUCCCUAACAAGAUCAUUCAGCUGCUGACUGGAGAGGAGGUGGAGUAUAUAGAGGAACACAGGGGUCUGUACAAGGACGUGAUGAUGGAGAAUCACCGGCCCCUCACAUCACUGGAUGGGCCCAGUAACAGAGAUACCCCAGAGAGAUGUCCCCGUCCUCUGC